AUAUCUCAAAACUUGAGUCUUUCAGAUUGCAGGCAACAACCCUGGGGCUGACUUCUCUUUGGCCUCUGGCCUUUACAUCCAUCCACUUCUCAUCUCCAGGCUUGACUUUUCUGAACUGGUUUCCACCGGUUACACUUCUCACUGAGGAAGACAGAUUCGAACAUGCUCCAUGCCAUUGACCAGCUGGGAGCAACUCCUGCCGCCUUGGAAAAUACCUGGGAAGAACUAAGAGGUGUUCCAGGGACUCAAGCCUACCCGUGGUUUCCAUAUUCUUCUACAACAAUCUGAUGGCAGACCCAGCGAAGACACAUGCGAGGUACAGGUCUCAUGCUUGCAGAAUCGCAGUACAACAGGCUAGUGAAAGUGCGUUUUGUUUGGCCGCGGCUGGAGGAGGACAGAAGCCAUCGGUGCUGCUGGGCUGCUGCUGCUGCUGAAGUUGAGCUGCAUUAAUUGGCUGAUAAGGACGGGGCAUCAAAUAGCAGAGAGAAAGGCCAUCGGAGAUUUUCUUGCUUUAUUUCUCUCUGCACUUCAUUUACAUCUUAAGCCAUAUUGGUGAUCCAGAUUUGAAUAAAGCCACAGCUUAAGGAGUGAUUAGAUCUCAAUAGCUUGGAUUUUCUAUGAAAUUGCUGCAUUUUUACUAGAUGUAUUUAGAAAUACUGGUG